ensembl:processed_transcript
CUUUAUUCUUAAACCACAUUGAAGAUAGAAAAGGAGAAACACUUUACCACUUAGUAUUUUUAAAUCUUACUUUCACUGCCACAGACUUUUCUCUUUUAAGUGUAGAAUGAAGAAUUGACUGCAGCCAUAGGAUUCUGUACAGCAUUGAAUGGAUGGCUCUCUAGAAAAUAGGAAAGGGAUUUUUUCGGAUUUUCAACACACUUACACAAGCAUUAGCUUUCUGCUUCUGAACAUUCAGGAAAAACUAAACUGAAGCUUUGAACUACUUCAAUUCAGCAUAUCUUGAUAUAAAUUUUAGAUUAGACCGAGUAUAGUGGCACAGAUUGGAGGUGGAGGAAAUGAUAUCUGGACUUUAGAUUUUUUCCUAGGAUAAACGAAUUACUUGAACGUAUUUUGCUUGCAUCUUCUUGAGAAUCAU